GACAAACGCUGGCGGCGUGCUUAACACAUGCAAGUCGAACGGAAAGGCCCUGCUUUUGUGGGGUGCUCGAGUGGCGAACGGGUGAGUAACACGUGAGUAACCUGCCCUUGACUUUGGGAUAACUUCAGGAAACUGGGGCUAAUACCGGAUAGGAGCUCCUGCUGCAUGGUGGGGGUUGGAAAGUUUCGGCGGUUGGGGAUGGACUCGCGGCUUAUCAGCUUGUUGGUGGGGUAGUGGCUUACCAAGGCUUUGACGGGUAGCCGGCCUGAGAGGGUGACCGGCCCCAUUGGGACUGAGAUACGGCCCAGACUCCUACGGGAGGCAGCAGUGGGGAAUAUUGCACAAUGGGCGGAAGCAUGAUGCAGCAACGCCGCGUGCGGGAUGACGGCCUUCGGGUUGUAACCCGCUUUCGCCUGUGACGAAGCGUGAGUGACGGUAAUGGGUAAAGAAGCACCGGCUAACUACGUG
rnacentral:rRNA from 1 species